rnacentral:rRNA from 1 species
GUGGGGAAUAUUGCGCAAUGGGCGAAAGCCUGACGCAGCGACGCCGCGUGAGGGAUGAAGGUUUUCGGAUCGUAAACCUCUGUCAGAAGGGAAGAAACUACGUUGUGCUAAUCAGCAGCGUACUGACGGUACCUUCAAAGGAAGCACCGGCUAACUCCGUGCCAGCAGCCGCGGUAAUACGGAGGGUGCAAGCGUUAAUCGGAAUUACUGGGCGUAAAGCGCACGUAGGCUGUAGUGUAAGUCAGGGGUGAAAUCCCACGGCUCAACCGUGGAACUGCCUUUGAUACUGCACAACUUGAAUCCGGGAGAGGGUGGCGGAAUUCCAGGUGUAGGAGUGAAAUCCGUAGAUAUCUGGAGGAACAUCAGUGGCGAAGGCGGCCACCUGGACCGGUAUUGACGCUGAGAUGCGAAAGCCAGGGUAGCGAACGGGAUUAGAAACCCGAGUAGUCC